UACGAAGGGGCUAGCGUUGUUCGGAAUUACUGGGCGUAAAGCGUAUGCAGGCGGAUCGUUAAGUCAGGGUGAAAUCCCGAGGCUCAACCUCGGAACUGCCUUGAUACUGGCGAUCUUUGAGUCGGGAGAGGUGAGUGGAACUCCGAGUGUAGAGGUGAAAUUCGUAGAUAUUCGGAAGAACACCAGUGGCGAAGGCGGCUCACUGGCCCGGUACUGACGCUCAGUGCGAAAGCGUGGGAGCAAC
rnacentral:rRNA from 1 species